rnacentral:rRNA from 1 species
UUUCCUUCGGGACUGAUUAUUUUGUGACUGAGUGGCGGACGGGUGAGUAACGCGUGGGUAACCUGCCUUGUACAGGGGGAUAACAGUUGGAAACGGCUGCUAAUACCGCAUAAGCGCACGGCAUCGCAUGAUGCAGUGUGAAAAACUCCGGUGGUAUAAGAUGGACCCGCGUCUGAUUAGCUAGUUGGUGAGGUAACGGCCCACCAAGGCGACGAUCAGUAGCCGGCCUGAGAGGGUGAACGGCCACAUUGGGACUGAGACACGGCCCAGACUCC